UCCAGGUCCCAUUGAUGUGGUAUCAUAUCAUGAUGCCUAGUGUCAUAUCCUCAAACAUUUUCUCUCCCCGAGAUGAGAGAGGCAAAGCGGGCCUCUCUGCAGCUGUUCAGUCCCUCUCAACCACCUGCACACCCUAACUCCUCCUGACUCUGCGAAGCUCUGAAAACUCGCCUUCCCCAUCUCCAUGGCCCCUACCACUAAGUUCCGCAGCCCCACCCCCACCCCGCCCCUGCCCUCUGCAUACUCCCUAUUUUCCCAAGGUUGAAUGGACUUAUCUUCCCAAGGUCACUCUGCCCCAUCCCUCCCCUUUCCCGCCUCCUCCCUUGGCAAAGCAGGAAGAGUUUGGGGCAUGCAAGGGAGAACUGCAAAACCUUCUUGGCCUUGUCUGCUUCCCAGGGGCUAGAGAUAGGAAAGGAAUCAUGGGGAGAAGAAGGGCAGGGCCCCCUGGAGGUGGGGCUGGCCCUUCACAGGGUUGAGGGGCUGGCUGACUUCCUGGGAACGAGUCUUGUUUACCAGCUGGUCAGGAGGCGGGAUGGGCAAUGAUAGCACUAGAAUCCCAAGGGAUCAGCUUGUUCCCUGCCCUCCUGUCCUAAAGAUGUAGGAAAUGAAACUCCAGAAAAGACACAAGACAGAGGGUAUUGAACAAACUACCCAGCCCUACUUCUGACCCUGGUUUUUGUCAUUUCUGGGUGGGCUGAGUCAUUCCAGGCAAAUCAGUUUUCUCUACGGACUUAAGAAAAAAUGAUGAGUUGAUCCGGAAGUGCUCCAGUCUCAGUGGUAAUAUCUGACUCCACUUCUCUCGAACAGCUCCCCACCCUCCUCUCUCAUUCCUUCUCAUUUACUUUGCUUCCUGGACAUUUGCUUCCUUACAAAUGAGUGCUGCUUUGGGGGAGUCUGGAUCAGUGUUGACCUGGGGUCAGCUCAGAGAAGAUGCACACUUUUGGAACAAUUUGUAUAUCUUAAAGCCGGAAUGCAUGGUGGUAAGGAACAGAUAUCCUACGUAGGUUCUGGGAUAUAAUCUUAUGGCCACUUCUGGGCACAGAGAACGUGCCUAUCCCUAAAAGAACUCAGUAUACAGACAAGAAGAUAGGCUCACUCUAACUGUCCUGGCCUGCACUGAGAAUUCUCUUUCAAGGACCACAGUUGAUGGAUCUGUGGCCCAUUAAGAUGGAAUUAGAGGCCAGGCAGUUCCGACUAGCAAUAUCUAUAGACCUGUGCCCCAGAAACCCCAAUAUUCUGGUUCAGCUUACUCUUCUACCUUUGGACUCGGAGAAUAGAAAAAAUGUUGAAGACCAGCUCAUUCACCUUGAUCGCUUCAUGGUCACACAGAUGAGCAAGGUGAGCAGAGUGGAUGGAUUCCUCAAUUGCAGAACAAGUUGAGUAAUUUUAAAACCAAAACAGAGCCAGGCAUGGUGACAUACACCUUUAAUCCCAGCACUUGGGCAGCAGAGGCAGGUGGUGGGUCUCUGAGUUAAAAGCCAGCCUGGUCUACAGAGCAAGUUUUUGGCCAACUAGGGUUUAAAGGCUCAACAAUAACAAAUGUCCACCAACAGGAGUUGGUCUGGUGGCACAUGUCUGUCAUUCCAGCUUCUUGGGAGGACAAGGUAGGAAGAUUGCCAGCUCAAGUAAGCUUGAGUCUGGGAAACCCAGUAAGACCGUAUCUCAAAAAGUUCAGACGUAGCAUCCUUGCCUUGAGGCUGUGGGCUCAAUCUCCAGUACUGUUCAAAUAAAAUGAAAACCCAAAGCGGGACUGGAAGGAAGUGAGAAGACCCCAGGUGGUCCCUCACAGUAGUCCCACACAGCUCAUCCCUGCUAUCAGGGCUCGGGACUCCACCCCAGACCACACUUCUGGACUCAAGGCCACUUCCUCUGCAACUGUAAGUCAAGAUGUUCUCAGCCAGCAUCUCCCCAAUCUCACCUCAGCUCCCACUCUCCCUCAGGAGCACCAGCCCUGGCCUCAGCUGCACCCUUCUGGUUGUCACUCAUCUGCGUGUGUCCUGCCAGCGUGGUCCCUUGUCUUGUCUCCUCAAAAGGGAAGCUGCCAAGGCUGAGGCCUGGAAAAGGGACUGGAUGGCUACCCCACCCCCAAGCCAUCCCUACUCUGGAGCUUGAUGGAGAGCCAGCAUCAGCAUUGACCAGGAAGGAUCAGGGGCCCCAGAUAAAGACAGGAUGGCCUAAUGACCAGGACCAGCAUGGACACACAAAGCAGUGACGUGCUACAGGCCAAAUCCAUUGUCGAUGGGAAGAAAAGGAGAUGGAGGGAGAUCUCCAUAGGACAAGAGACCUCACACGUAUAAAGACCAAAAGAUGCAAAGUUGUGCUCCAGUGUUUACAGGGCAGGCAAAUUACAAAUGCUCAACUUACCACGAGGCUAUAGAUAAACCCUCCAUCAACUGAAUCUAUCCUGCGUGGACAAUGCGUUCAAUACAUCUAACCCACUGAGUGCAGUAGCUUGGCCUGACAUCUCAUGGGCAUGCUCAGAACCCUUACAUUAGUCACUUGAUUUAUAAUAAAGCACUGACUAUUUCAUAUAACGUAUACUGUUCUGAAAUGAAGAAUGGAAAGCUGAAUGGGGUACAGCCCACACAGGUGGGUACUUUAUAGGCAUGAAGGGUUAAAAAAAGACAAGCAGCACAGUGUACAGGAAGGACCAUCUCAUGUUUCCCCCUGGUUGGGCUGCCCCGGAGCUCGGGAG